rnacentral:misc_RNA from 1 species
GAUGAAGAACGUAGCGAAAUGCGAUAAGUAAUGUGAAUUGCAGAAUUCAGUGAAUCAUCGAAUCUUUGAACGCACAUUGCGCCCGCCAGUAUUCUGGCGGGCAUGCCUGUUCGAGCGUCAUUUCAACCAUCAAGCCCCAGGCUUGUGUUGGGGACCUGCGGCUGCCGCAGGCCCUGAAAACCAGUGGCGGGCUCGCUGUCACACCGGGCGUAGUAGCAAUCACCUCGCUCAGGGCGUGCUGCGGGUUCCGGCCGUUAAACAGCCUUACAAAACCCAAGGUUGACCUCGGAUCAGGUAGGAAGACCCGCUGAACUUAAGCAUAUCAAUAAGCGGAGGA